rnacentral:sRNA from 1 species
UGUGAUUGUAUUGGAAAAAAACAUAAAUGCAAACAAUGAAAGGCAUCUGUAUCUUGAAAAGCCGGUUAUUGGUGGUGGUGUUAUUGUU